rnacentral:hammerhead_ribozyme from 1 species
AUCCAGCUGAUAAGUCCAAAAUAGGAUGAAACGCGCUUCAAACAGGAU